rnacentral:sRNA from 1 species
ACGGGGAAGGAUGAGAAGCUUCGACUAAGGUUCGAUUCGAGCGAAAGCGAGAAAGCGUUGCCGCAGGCAACGACCCGAAGGGCGAAGCGCGCAGCGCUGAGUCAUCCUUCCCCCACCACCA